rnacentral:rRNA from 1 species
AUUGAACGCUGGCGGCAUGCUUUACACAUGCAAGUCGAACGGUAACAGGGAGCUUGCUCCGCUGACGAGUGGCGAACGGGUGAGUAACAUAUCGGAACGUACCCAAGAGUGGGGGAUAACGUAGCGAAAGUUACGCUAAUACCGCAUACGAUCUAUGGAUGAAAGUGGGGGAUCGCAAGACCUCAUGCUCCUGGAGCGGCCGAUAUCUGAUUAGCUAGUUGGUGAGGUAAAGGCUCACCAAGGCGACGAUCAGUAGCUGGUCUGAGAGGACGACCAGCCACACUGGAACUGAGACACGGUCCAGACUCCUACGGGAGGCAGCAGUGGGGAAUUUUGGACAAUGGGCGCAAGCCUGAUCCAGCAAUGCCGCGUGAGUGAAGAAGGCCUUCGGGUUGUAAAGCUCUUUUGUCAGGGAAGAAACGGUAGAGGCUAAUAUCCUUUGCUAAUGACGGUACCUGAAGAAUAAGCACCGGCUAACUACGUGCCAGCAGCCGCAGUAAGAC